rnacentral:lncRNA from 1 species
GGACUCCGUCCAACAAUUUAGCCUCGCAGGAUCUGUGUGCGCAGGAAAAACCGUGGACGUUCUGGAUUAGGAUUUGAUUAAUAAAGGAGAGCUCCACUUUUAUUUCUCCUUUGCACAUUAGUAGGGAGAACUGGAACUCCAAGGUACGUGGCUCCCUCUCUCUUUCCCAACACCCCACGUGUCAAACUAGAGGUGUAAAUAGGUCGGAUCAGAUCAGAUCAUGAGUGACCCCUGCCCGACCCAGUUUCUUGAUUGGAUCUUUAUAUUGAACCCAGAUCUAAUCCGAAGAUCAAGUCGGAUCAGAUCGGAUCU